UACGGAGGGGGCGAGCGUUAUUCGGAAUUAUUGGGCGUAAAGGGCGCGUAGGCGGCUUGACAAGUCAAAGGUGAAAUCCCUCGGCUCAACCGAGGAAGUGCGCCCGAAACUGCAGAGCUUGAGUACCGGAGAGGGUGACGGUAUUCCCCAAGUAGAGGUGAAAUUCGUAGAUAUGGGGAGGAACACCGGUGGCGAAGGCGGUCACCUGGACGGAUACUGACGCUGAGACGCGAAAGCGUGGGGAGCAAACAGG
rnacentral:rRNA from 1 species